UACGAAGGGGGCUAGCGUUGCUCGGAAUCACUGGGCGUAAAGGGCGCGUAGGCGGAUCUUUAAGUCGGGGGUGAAAGCCCAGGGCCCAACCCUGGAAUGGCCUUCGAUACUGGAGAUCUUGAGACCGGAAGAGGUAAGUGGAACUGCGAGUGUAGAGGUGAAAUUCGUAGAUAUUCGCAAGAACACCAGUGGCGAAGGCGGCUUACUGGUCCGGUUCUGACGCUGAGGCGCGAAAGCGUGGGGAGCAAACAGG
rnacentral:rRNA from 1 species